UUGCCUUUACUAGUUUGCCAGAUGGAUCUAAUUAUCUUAAAUGCAUAUUAUCUAAUUUAAUUGCAGUGUUGCCAGACAACCAUCUCUCCACAUGUACUUGCAGCAUCUUGUGACAUUCUUCAGAGAUGGACGUAAAUACAAUGAAGGUGUAUGGAAGAGUGCGUUUACUGUUUCUAAGCUGCAUUUGCAAAGAGCAUCUGAAGCCAUUCUUACCCUCCUUAGAAGAAGAGUAGAACAAGCUCAGUUCUCGUGUCUUGUGAACACAGACCUGUAAACUGCACUCUGCUUCUGGGAAGAUGAACUAAAGAAUCAGUGUUUUUUUUUAUAAAGAUAAAAUGUUCUGUCUAUUACAUUCAUCGCUGAUGCAUUUUGUACCAGUAGAAGGAAUCUUUUUGGAUGUGUAUUUUCAUUUGUAGAUUACAGAACAUUAGAGUAGCUAUUAAUCCAUAUAAUUUCCAUCUUUGGGUGUGGAUUUUGGGCUAUAGCAUACAAAUAUUCCUCUAUGUCUACCCAAGUCUUGGUUUUAUUAUGUAAAUUUGUUUGAAGAGGGUUUUACAUUGAACAGAAACAGGUUGGUUCCCAGAAAGACAGUACUUCAAGACUAAAUUUAAUUAACAUGUUAAUGACUCAGAUCAGUUCUUGAAAUCUGCAAAUUCUGAAGAUGGUAGUGGUUCCUCCCUUUGAUUUAUUUCAUGUCCAUGAAAGAGCUGAAAAUGCACUUUUGAAGAAACAUAUUCCAUUAGAGGCAGUUUGAGAGUUGGAAUAAAAACAAACAAAAAAAACCCA
rnacentral:lncRNA from 1 species